GACGAACGCUGGCGGCGUGCUUAACACAUGCAAGUCGAACGGAAAGGCCCUGCUUUUGUGGGGUGCUCGAGUGGCGAACGGGUGAGUAACACGUGAGUAACCUGCCCUUGACUUUGGGAUAACUUCAGGAAACUGGGGCUAAUACCGGAUAGGAGCUCCUGCUGCAUGGUGGGGGUUGGAUAGUUUCGGCGGUUGGGGAUGGACUCGCGGCUUAUCAGCUUGUUGGUGGGGUAGUGGCUUACCAAGGCUUUGACGGGUAGCCGGCCUGAGAGGGUGACCGGCCACAUUGGGACUGAGAUAAGGCCCAGACUCCUACGGGAGGCAGCAGUGGGGAAUAUUGCACAAUGGGCGGAAGCCUGAUGCAGCAACGCCGCGUGCGGGAUGACGGCCUUCGGGUUGUAAACCGCUUUCGCCUGUGACGAAGCGUGAGUGACGGUAAUGGGUAAAGAAGCACCGGCUAACUACGUG
rnacentral:rRNA from 1 species